UCUGUACGCUCACGUACAGGCUGCUGGAAAUACUGCAGAGCUAGGGAGUGGGAGAGGUAGACGGUACUCGGGAGGAAGUGGUAAAAUGCCUUGAUCUUUCGAUGACCACCUGUGGCGAAGGCGGUCUACCAGAACACGUCCGACGGUGAGGGAUGAAAGCUGGGGGAGCAAACCGGAUUAGAUACCCGGGUAGUCCCAGCUGUAAACUAUGCAAACUCAGUGAUGCGUUGGCUUAUGGCCAGCGCAGUGUUGCAGGGAAGCCGUUAAGUUUGCCGCCUGGGAAGUACGUACGCAAGUAUGAAACUUAAAGGAAUUGGCGGGGGAGCACCACAAGGGGUGAAGCCUGCGGUUCAAUUGGAGUCAACGCCAGAAAUCUUACCCGGAGAGACAGCAGAAUGAAGGUCAAGCUGAAGACUUUACCAGACAAGCUGAGAGGUGGUGCAUGGCCGUCGCCAGCUCGUGCCGUGAGAUGUCCUGUUAAGUCAGGUAACGAGCGAGAUCCCUGCCUCUAGUUGCCACCAUUACUCUCAGGAGUAGUGGGGCGAAUUAGCGGGACCGCCGCAGUUAAUGCGGAGGAAGGAAGGGGCCACGGCAGGUCAGUAUGCCCCGAAAAU
rnacentral:rRNA from 1 species